UACGUAGGGUGCAAGCGUUGUCCGGAAUUAUUGGGCGUAAAGGGCUCGUAGGCGGUCUGUCGCGUCUGCUGUGAAAACUCGGGGCUUAACCCCGGGCCUGCAGUGGGUACGGGCAGACUAGAGUGCGGUAGGGGAGACUGGAAUUCCUGGUGUAGCGGUGAAAUGCGCAGAUAUCAGGAGGAACACCGGUGGCGAAGGCGGGUCUCUGGGCCGUAACUGACGCUGAGGAGCGAAAGCGUGGGGAGCGAACAGG
rnacentral:rRNA from 1 species